rnacentral:rRNA from 1 species
UACGUAGGGUGCAAGCGUUGUCCGGAAUUAUUGGGCGUAAAGAGCUCGUAGGCGGUUUGUUGCGUCGGCUGUGAAAUCCCGAGGCUCAACCUCGGGUCUGCAGUCGAUACGAGCAAACUAGAGUGUUGCAGGGGAGACUGGAAUUCCUGGUGUAGCGGUGGAAUGCGCAGAUAUCAGGAGGAACACCGAUGGCGAAGGCAGGUCACUGGGCCGCAACUGACGCUGAGGAGCGAAAGCAUGGGGAGCGAACAGG